rnacentral:tRNA from 1 species
GUCCUUGUAGUUAAAGUUCAUAUAACGGUGAUUUUUCAGGUCAUAGAUCUUGGAUAAAGGCCAAGCGAGGACA